UACGUAGGGUGCAAGCGUUGUCCGGAAUUAUUGGGCGUAAAGAGCUCGUAGGCGGUGUGUCGCGUCGGCCGUGAAAACCUGGGGCUCAACUCUGGCGUGCGGUCGAUACGGGCAUCACUUGAGUUCGGCAGGGGAGACUGGAAUUCCUGGUGUAGCGGUGAAAUGCGCAGAUAUCAGGAGGAACACCGGUGGCGAAGGCGGGUCUCUGGGCCGAUACUGACGCUGAGGAGCGAAAGCAUGGGUAGCGAACAGG
rnacentral:rRNA from 1 species